rnacentral:rRNA from 1 species
AGCUCCAAUAGCGUAUAUUAAAGUUGUUGCGGUUAAAAAGCUCGUAGUUGGAUUUCUGUUGAGGAUGGGCGGUCCUCGCUUUGCGGGCGUAUCUGCUUCGGCCUUGGCAUCCUCGCGGGGGGCGUCGCUGCGCUUGAGUGCGUGGCGCGGGUUUCGCGACUUUUACUUUGAGGAAAUUAGAGUGUUUACGGCAAGCUAUCGCCUUGAAUAUAUUAGCAUGGAAUAAUGAUAUAGGACCCUAGCGCUAUGUUAUUGGUUUAUAGAACUAGGGUAAUGAUUAAUAGGGAUAAUUGGGGGGCAUUUGUAUUAACCUGUCAGAGGUGGAAUUCUUGGAUUAGGUUACGACAAGCUACUGCGAAAGCAUUUGCCAAGGGUG